AAGCAUUUGUCAGUGAAGAACCUGUCUGGUUCAGACCUCCCGAUGCUUAGCUCUUUAUCUGCAGAUAUGUGGUCAGUACAGGUAAUAUAUAACUAAACGCUGUGGACAAGUUACUGGCUUGCUGUACUUGUAGCAGUGUUGGUGAUAAAGUUUAAGUGUAAUAUUUAACUCUAAACUGGAACUCCUUGGAACAGGCAAGU